ensembl:lncRNA
GUAGAACCUGGAUGUAAAGCUGACUUGUUUUUGUGAAAUGUCAUUUUAUAGCUACAGAGUGUUGCAGAGACAUGAAGGAAAAAUCAUUUCCUCUGCGCUCCAGGCGACCUUCACAAAUCACCUGAGUGGCUUGAUUGCAGCCAUAACUCAGCGUAAUGCCAGCACUGUAACGCUCGCAGCAGCCCUGACCCUCACAAAACAUUUUCCUCCCGGCCUUAUCUGUGUUUAUGACACUUUGCCCGCCGCUGUGUGAACAACAAAAUGAGCCAGAUGGGACUGACUGAGGAUCUGUCCAGAUUACCACGCCACCUCAACACAGCGGCAGCCAGAAAACUGGAUCGGCACGGACAGGAUGGCUUUCCAUGAAGAGCUGGACAAACCUCAGCGUGCAACAAGCUGUCUCUAUAGCUUAUUAUAGAUACACGAUGAUACACGUUUGAUACACAAUGUGUUUGUUUGAUACACAGUGUCUAUUCCAUCAGUUUUUGUAGUUUAUUUAAAUCAUCUCUGGGUGUUUUUGCUACUACAAAUCCAUCAGUGCAUGUCAUGUUAAAGCUUUAAUCCUCCUAUCAGCAAUUUAUCAACAAAAUGUUCACAAGAAAGACAUUUUCAUGAGGACGUAUGAUGAAUGACUGUCUUCUAGCACCACCUUAAGGCCACAACUUUGACCUGUUCUACCGUCACAAGUUUCUUCACUUCCAAUUUCAUAGCCAGAGAUCCAUAAAACAGCCACAAAAUAAAAACAGACAAAUGCACACCAAGAAGCUAACAACAGCCAGGGAAAAUUAUACGUGACUGAUGGUGCACAAUGACCUCCACAAGAAUCCAAAAACUCCACAAAAAAAGUUUACUAACAAACCUCAAAUGUGUAUAAUGAUCCUUCAGCAACGCAAAAUGACUCCACAAAGGGCCAAACUAAUGAUAGCUUGCUACAAAAUGAUCCCUAAAUGAUGCAAAAUAACCACGAAAACAUAGCAAUCACGCUUAACAUUUACAAAAAAGACACAUAAUGACCACAAAGAGAUGCAAAACAAUUACAGAGGAAUAAAAAAGCCAUGAAAAGACCCGAUAACACACAGUGGCACAAGAAAAUCCCCAAAGGGCAUAAAAUAACUCAAAAAGAUACAACAAAGGGAUAAAGAACAACAACAAACGCGACACUAAAGAACAAAAACAGACCGAAAAUGAUCCGGAAGAAUUACAAAAAGAAAGAUGACAACCACAAAGAGAAGAUUAUGCCAAAAUUAUCAAAAAAUUAUGCAAACACACCACAAAGAGAAAAACAAAUCCAUCACAAAAGCCACAAAAAGCUAAAAAAAAAUCUCAAGAAAACCCCCCAAAAAUGAUGGCAAAGAUUUACAAUGUGAAAGAACAGAUACAAAAUCACUUCAAAGGAUCAGACUGAUGCUAAAAUGAAAGAAAAAGAAACCAGAAUUACAUCAAAAAGAUGGAAAAGAUUCACAGUCUGCAAAGAUAUCAAAAGGUAACAUAAAAACAUACCACAAGAAGCAACUGUAAAAAAAGUUACACCACAGUUACAAAAAAAUCCACACAAAAAGACUGAGACAAAAAUAAAACUAGCCACAAAAAGCUGCAAAACAACCGCUGAAAGACCCUUAAUGGUAGAAAAUGAUUACAGCAAGUUAUCAAAUAAUCACAAAGAAUGAAACAGUCAACCCAGAGAAAUAGAAAACAAUUGCCAAAAGGAGACACAAUCAAUCCCAAAGACACAAAAUGACCACAAAAAGUGCAAAACAACAGCCAUAUAUUCUAAAAUAAAACUUUUAAUGAACAUAAAAAAGACGUAAAACAGUCACAUGGAGAUGGAGAAAAGAUGCCGAGUCCCGACAAACAAAAAUAAAAUAAAAGAAUACCAGGGGCACAAAAAACAAACCCAAGAAAGAGUAACUAAGUAAAAGUAACAUUUAUUAGAAAGCACGUUUUAAGACAGGAAUCUGUUACAAAGUGCUUUACAGGAAUAAUAUAAAAACAUAAAGACACAAAACAAUCUGAAAUGAAUUUAAAAUGGAAAAAAGAGACGUAGCCACAAACAACCACAAAACACAGAAGAAAAUAAAAAAGUAAAACUGCUUUUAAAAAACUGUAAAUUGUCAGGAAACAUCGCUGAACUGAUGCAAAAAAGCCACAUAGUGCAGAGUUUACUGUGGAAAAAGUGAAGUGAAAACAUUAGGGUUUUUUUUUUUAACUUCCUUACUUAUUUACUCAUUUAUUUAUUUUUAGGAAAAACUUUCAACAUAAAGUCAUCUAAAGUGUGGGGAAAACUACAUGCAGCUGACAGACUGAGAGCUGACUGCCUGCUGCUUGGAUUGCUCGUCAAAGAAACUGAUGUUUGUGGCUCACACUGCCCUCCAGAGGUGACAACCAGGAAUUACAGCCUUUACUUUAAGUUUGUACUAGAGCAAAAGAUGUCAUUUACGGAGCAUUAUAAUCAGGCGUUUGAGCUCAGAUGUCAGAGGCUGUCUGCUGUAAACAUAUCAGAUCCCAGAAAGUAAAAACUAAUUUAAAAACUACAAAUAACUGAUAUCCUUCAGGGAAAAACUUAAACCUUUAGCUUAAUUGUGUGUUAAUCCCACGUUCUGGUUGGCUGCCAGGCUGUGACUCAGCGGCCUGAUGAAGCCCAAUGGGAGGUGCUGACCAUAGACUCCUCAGCUUUUCACACAACACCGUCUCCUG